GGGAGGGGAUUGGGGUGACAGUAAGUGACCCAGGUGACACAGAUGACAGAGAGCAGGUGACCUAGGUGUGACCCAGGUGUGUCCCAGGUGUGACCCAGGUGUGUCCCAGGUGUGUCCCCAUGCCAGGUGUGGUGAAGGUGACCCCCGGGCACAGGACCCAAGGGUGACACUGGGUGACAAUAGGUGACAGUAGGUGACAGUAGGCAAUACAGGUGUGUCCCAGGUGUGACCAGGUGUGUCCCAGGUGUGUCCCAGGUGUGUCCCCAUGCCAGGUGCGGUGAAGGUGACCCCCGGGCACAGGACCCAAGGGUGACACUGGGUGACAAUAGGUGACAAUAGGCAGUACAGGUGUGACCCAGGUGUGACCAGGUG